rnacentral:rRNA from 1 species
GGAGCUAAUACCGGAUAAGAUAUCGAACCGCAUGGUUCGAUAGUGAAAGAUGGUUUUGCUAUCACUUAUAGAUGGACCCGCGCCGUAUUAGCUAGUUGGUGAGGUAACGGCUCACCAAGGCAACGAUACGUAGCCGACCUGAGAGGGUGAUCGGCCACACUGGAACUGAGACACGGUCCAGACUCCUACGGGAGGCAGCAGGU